UCCUGAGCUCCUGGGGAAAUCAGUGGCAGGGACACAGACAUGAUUUCCUCAGCCCGUGGCAGUGUUUGGGGAAAUGCAAUGAGAGCUUGGAGCGCUGUCCCAUGAAGGGAAUGUGAUGGAUGUGAUGGACACAGUAAAUCUGGGACUUCCAUGGCUGAGUGGUGGCCUUGUCCUUUCUGAGGGACCAUCCAGGGACACUGCCCAGAGAGCUGUGGGUGCCCCAUCCCUGGAGGUGCUCAAGAACAUUAGGAAAAAAAUCUUCUCUGAAAGGGUAGUAAUGCAUUGGAACGGGCUGCCCAGGGAGGCGGUGGAUUCCCUGUCCCUACAGGGCACCUUGUCUGUGUGCUGGAGAUGGACACCUCUCCAAGAGCAUCUACCAGGGUCUCCAUCCUUUGCUCCUGUACCUGCAAAGGAAAGGCCAUGUCGUCUUGAAGCUGGGCUUGUUCUGAAAACCCCUCCUGUGCUUCCUGGUGUCACACAGCACGUCGGUUCAGGUGUCACUGCCAAUCCCACUUGCCAGGCCCAUGUGCACUUCGUUUUCUUGCCCUUCUUGAGAACUGUCUGCAGGUUGUGCUUUGCCUCCAUCAUCAUUGUGGCUUUCAUCUGCACCGGUAGCGGCAAUCCCCACCAUGCAGGAUUUAUUUACAUUGCAGGAUGGACUCCCUGCUUCUCCUCGGUAGGUGACAAACAACGACGUCUAGGAUGGAG
ensembl:lncRNA